rnacentral:rRNA from 1 species
ACGAACGCUGGCGGCGUGCCUAAUACAUGCAAGUAGCACGCUGAAGAGAGGAGCUUGCUCUUCUUGGAUGAGUUGCGAACGGGUGAGUAACGCGUAGGUAACCUGCCUUGUAGCGGGGGAUAACUAUUGGAAACGAUAGCUAAUACCGCAUAACAAUGGAUGACACAUGUCAUUUAUUUGAAAGGGGCAAUUGCUCCACUACAAGAUGGACCUGCGUUGUAUUAGCUAGUAGGUGAGGUAAUGGCUCACCUAGGCGACGAUACAUAGCCGACCUGAGAGGGUGAUCGGCCACACUGGGACUGAGACACGGCCCAGACUCCUACGGGAGGCAGCAGUAGGGAAUCUUCGGCAAUGGGGGCAACCCUGACCGAGCAACGCCGCGUGAGUGAAGAAGGUUUUCGGAUCGUAAAGUUCUGUUGUAAGUCAAGAACGGGUGUGAGAGUGGAAAGUUCACACUGUGACGGUAGCUUACCAGAAAGGGACGGCUAACUACGUG